ACCAUGUAUUAUUUUUAACCCUCACAGGUUAGUGACUGCGUACGAUGAACACCAGAAGCUUCUGAAAGAAAAUGAGUCGGCAAAGAGGAAAGCAGAGAAUGGCUCACAGGAAACCGAAUCGAAGAGACAGCGUACAGAUGAGCACUCAGGCUCAGGGCACAUGAUGCAGGGAGAUGUGCAGGGUAACAACUCUGCCUACAACUACAACUGGUACCAGCAACAGUACAACAACUGGGGACAGAACUCCUGGGACAGUACAACCAGUAUUCCCAGCAGUAUAACCAGUACUACCCCCCUCCACCCACAUAAGGUCUUGCAGACAGAAAGGGAGAUGAGAGGAAGCAUCUAUCUACCCAGCCCAAUUGCUCAUCUCAGCUAGCCCCACCUCCUGUGUGACGUAAUUUGUUUCAAUUGGCCAUUAGAUUGGCACAUUUACUGUCAUCACCAUUGUCAUUCAU